GACGAACGCUGGCGGCGCGCCUAACACAUGCAAGUCGAACGAGCGAGAGAGAGCUUGCUUUCUCAAGCGAGUGGCGAACGGGUGAGUAACGCGUGAGGAACCUGCCUCAAAGAGGGGGACAACAGUUGGAAACGACUGCUAAUACCGCAUAAGCCCACGGCUCGGCAUCGAGCAGAGGGAAAAGGAGCAAUCCGCUUUGAGAUGGCCUCGCGUCCGAUUAGCUAGUUGGUGAGGUAACGGCCCACCAAGGCGACGAUCGGUAGCCGGACUGAGAGGUUGAACGGCCACAUUGGGACUGAGACACGGCCCAGACUCCUACGGGAGGCAGCAGUGGGGAAUAUUGCACAAUGGGGGAAACCCUGAUGCAGCGACGCCGCGUGGAGGAAGAAGGUCUUCGGAUUGUAAACUCCUGUUGUUG
rnacentral:rRNA from 1 species